AUUUACAGCUAUAGCACCCUGAAUGUGCCCCGUCUCCUCUGAUCUGGGAAGCUAAGCAGGGUUGGGCCUGCUUAGGACUUGGAUGGGAGACCGCCUGGGAAUACUGGGUGCUGUAGGCU
ensembl:rRNA 5S_rRNA 5S ribosomal RNA